AACGAACGCUGGCGGCAUGCCUAAUACAUGCAAGUCGAACGAGAUCUUCGGAUCUAGUGGCGCACGGGUGCGUAACGCGUGGGAAUCUGCCCUUGGGUUCGGAAUAACUUCUGGAAACGGAAGCUAAUACCGGAUGAUGACGUAAGUCCAAAGAUUUAUCGCCCAAGGAUGAGCCCGCGUAGGAUUAGCUAGUUGGUGGGGUAAAGGCUCACCAAGGCGACGAUCCUUAGCUGGUCUGAGAGGAUGAUCAGCCACACUGGGACUGAGACACGGCCCAGACUCCUACGGGAGGCAGCAGUAGGGAAUAUUGGACAAUGGGCGAAAGCUUGAUCCAGCAAUGCCGCGUGAGUGAUGAAGGCCUUAGGGUUGUAAAGCUCUUUUACCCGGGAUGAUAAUGACAGUACCGGGAGAAUAAGCUCCGGCUAACUCCGUGCCAGCCGCCGCCGUAACAC
rnacentral:rRNA from 1 species